UACGGAGGGUGCAAGCGUUAAUCGGAAUUACUGGGCGUAAAGCGCACGCAGGUGGCUUGUUCAGUCGAUUGUGAAAGCCCUGGGCUUAACCUGGGAAUUGCAGUCGAUACUACUCAGCUAGAGUAUGGGAGAGGGUAGUGGAAUUCCCGGUGUAGCGGUGAAAUGCGUAGAUAUCGGGAGGAACAUCAGUGGCGAAGGCGGCUACCUGGCCCAACACUGACACUCAGGUGCGACAGCGUGGGGAGCAAACAGG
rnacentral:rRNA from 1 species